GACGAACCGUGCAAACGUUGUUCGGAAUCACUGGGCUUAAAGGGCGCGUAGGCGGGUUCCCAAGUCGGUGGUGAAAUCUUUCGGCCCAACCGGAAAAGUGCCGCCGAUACUGGGAGUCUUGAGGGAGGUAGGGGUCGGGGGAACUGGUGGUGGAGCGGUGAAAUGCGUAGAUAUCACUAGGAACGCCGGUGGCGAAAGCGCCCGACUGGACCUCUUCUGACGCUGAGGUGCGAAAGCGUGGGGAGCAAACAGG
rnacentral:rRNA from 1 species